rnacentral:rRNA from 1 species
GUGAACGCUGGCGGUAGGCCUAACACAUGCAAGUCGAACGGCAGCACAGAGGAGCUUGCUCCUUGGGUGGCGAGUGGCGGACGGGUGAGGAAUACAUCGGUAUCUACCCUGUCGUGGGGGAUAACGUAGGGAAACUUACGCUAAUACCGCAUACGACCUUCGGGUGAAAGAGGGGGCUCGCAAGACCUCUCGCGAUUGGAUGAGCCGAUGUCGGAUUAGCUAGUUGGCGGGGUAAAAGCCCACCAAGGCGACGAUCCGUAGCUGGUCUGAGGGGAUGAUCAGCCACACUGGAACUGAGACACGGUCCAGACUCCUACGGGAGGCAGCAGUGGGGAAUAUUGGACAAUGGGCGCAAGCCUGAUCCAGCCAUACCGCGUGGGUGAAGAAGGCCUUCGGGUUGUAAAGCCCUUUUGUUGGGAAAGAAAAGCGACCGGCUAAUACCCGGUUGUUCUGACGGUACCCAAAGAAUAAGCACCGGCUAACUUCGUGCCAGCCGCCGCGGUAACAC